AUAGCGUAUAUUAAAGUUGUUGCAGUUAAAAAGCUCGUAGUUGAACUUCAGACCUGGCUGGGCGGUCAGCUUAUCGGCUAGUACUGUCCGGCUGGGCCUUACUUCUUGGUGAGCCGGUGUGCCCUUUAUUGGGUGCGUCGGUGAACCAGGACCUUUACCUUGAGAAAAUUAGAGUGUUCAAAGCAGGCCUAUGCCCGAAUACAUUAGCAUGGAAUAAUAAAAUAGGACGUGCGGUUCUAUUUUGUUGGUUUCUAGAGUCGCCGUAAUGAUUAAUAGGGACAGUUGGGGGCAUUGGUAUUCCGGCGCUAGAGGUGAAAUUCUUGGAUUGCCGGAAGACUAACUACUG
rnacentral:rRNA from 1 species